UUAAUCAUGCCUUGACAGGAUUGGUUGCUACAGGUCAGCCAAUCAGAAAGUUUUCAAAGAGGAAUAUAAACACAAGCAGAGUGUCUUCAGAGUGUCUUGAACGCUAUAAGACAACACGACUGAGAGAGGAAGUGUCAAGGAUUUUCUUUUCUUAAGAACUGGGUGGAGUGUUUUGAAGAUGCAAAAAUGAUGUUAUCAAAAGAAAGCGAAGAAGAGGAGGAUGAUGAUGAUGAUGAUAAAAAUGAAGAUUGUAGCAGGGUUGGUGGAAUAAACAUCUGUUGCCAAGGAUAGAUGCCACACCCUGACACUACUAUUAAGAAAAUUUUAGUAGAGACACUGGACCGAAGAACUUGUGUAUGCCGUUUGGAUUAUUUUCAUAUUGUCCAAACGCCUACCUUGCAAACAGAUGAACCCCUUAUCCAAUAAGGUGUUUAUUGGGUCUUUAAAACCUGUGCUCCUGCAAGCUCUUAGUAGCGCGUAAGAUCAUGGGUUUAAACCCUGGGAACACAUUGUAGUGCACUGUAAAGCUCUAGAUAAAUGCAAACAUGUAAAUUAAGUUUUUAUCUAUCCGGUUAAACUGAGCAAGCUAAAAAUAUUUCAAAAAGUUAAAUUACAACGGAUGCAUUUGUUUCAAAUGAUUUUUUUAUUUUUUAUUUGACCUUUAUUUAAUCAGGAAAAUCUCUCUGAGAUUCAAAAUCUCUUUCACAGAAGAGUCCUGACCUAGCGAGGACAGCCGUUACAGUCACAACUUAUAAAUAAAAUCAACAAGGUAUACAAACAAAUUUAAAAACAAUUACAAAUCAGAGAGUCUUCUUCAAUUGACCUAAUAAUAGAUUUAAAAUGAUCCAUAGUCACUAAAGUUUGUCAGUGCAAGUGCUUUUUAAUGUAUUUAUCAAUGGUUUAAGUCAAGUAUAGCUCUCCAUUAUGCAAUGGACUUUACUUGUUAACUGUUGGUUUACUUGUUUGUUUUCUGAUCUUUCAGAAAACAAUUUGGUGGGUCAUUCCUACAAUUUGAUAACUUCUAGACUUUUGGGAAAUGAAACAUAUAUUUUUGUUAGUUAAAUCAUAAAAGGGACAUUUACAUUUAACUAGGACAGUUCAUUUAUCAUGUACAUUUUAAUCAGGCCAAAAAAAAAAAAUUUUAACUAUGCAAAUUAGUUGUAAAAUGCAGCUUGUGGGGAAAAUGCAUAUUCAUUAAAUAAAAUUAUCUAAAAUUAAUACAAUUUUAAUUUCAGGAAGAUAAAGUAUAAGGAGCUCUUUGCCCUUUUAAGAUAAAACUAAAUUAUAUCAGCUGACGUUUUAAUAUUAAUACCACAAUUUAAACACUGGGGACUUUUAGGGACUUUAAAAUGAUUGAAUUGCAGGAAUGACCCUUCUCAGUGGAAUGUCACGCACAUCAUUCUGAUGUGUUUGGUCCAUUUCAUUCUUCAGUUCUGAUAAACACAUCGUGGGUUCAAAACCUGCUGUGUUUCAACAGUGCUGAUAAAUAUGUUGCUCAUUUAAGGGUGUACCGUUUCUACUGUACAUGUAAAAGAGUGAUGUAAUGUUUUUUAAACGUAUGCAGUAUUCUGUCCGAAUAUAAACAGUAAUUCUUACUUUAUAUCUGACAGUUUAUAGCCAUGUAGUGCUUGUGUAAUGAAUAAUUACUAUUAUUAUAAUAUAACAUUAUAUUAUAUAAUAUUCUGUUCAUUAUAUAGGCCUAAACAUAAGGUCCAGCUCAAAGUGAAUCUCACCUGAUUUCAUAUCAGAGGCAUUCAUGUACUACUGCAUGUCAUUACUCGCUUGGUUAUGUGGCAGGGGAUUUUAGCAAGUGAUAUUUCACAGUGUAACAGUGAUGAUUGCAGAUUGAUUUGUGUUCCUCGUUUGCUGUCAAACUGUGUCAUGUGACUGUAUUAUAAGCUAAAAGCCACAUGGUAACCCCCCAUAAAUAAAAGUUUUGUGAUAAAA